AGCAGCCGCGGUAAUUCCAGCUCCAAUAGCGUAUAUUAAAGUUGUUGCAGUUAAAAAGCUCGUAGUUGAAUUUCGGGGUCAGUAGGUUGGUCGUGCCACCGGUACGUACUGGUCUCACUGAUUCCCCCUUCCUGAAGAACCGUAAUGCCAUUAAUUUGGUGUUGCGGGGAAACAGGACUGUUACUUUGAGAAAAUUAGAGUGUUUAAAGCAAGCUAACGCUUGAAUACAUUAGCAUGGAAUAAUGAAAUAGGACGAUCGAUCCUAUUUUGUUGGUUUCUAGGAUUGACGUAAUGAUUAAUAGGGAUAGUUGGGGGCAUUAGUAUUCAAUUGUCAGAGGUGAAAUUCUUGGAUUUAUUGAAGACUAACUACUGCGAAAGCAUUUGCCAAGGAUGUUUUCAUUAAUCAAGAACGAAAGUUAGGGGAUCGAAGACGAUCAGAUACCGUCGUAGUCUUAACCAUAAACUAUGCCGACUAGGGAUCGGAUGAUGUUAAUUUUAUAAUGACUCAUUCGGCGCCUUA
rnacentral:rRNA from 1 species